AUGAACGCUGGCGGCGUGCCUAAUACCUGCCAGUCGAGCGAACAGAUGAGGAGCUUGCUCCUCUGACGUUAGCGGCGGACGGGUGAGUAACACGUGGAUAACCUACCUAUAAGACUGGGGUAACUUCGGGAAACCGGAGCUAAUACCGGAUAAUAUAUUGAACCGCAUGGUUCAAUAGUGAAAGACGGUUUUGCUGUCACUUAUAGAUGGAUCCGCGCCGCAUUAGCUAGUUGGUAAGGUAACGGCUUACCAAGGCAACGAUGCGUAGCCGACCUGAGAGGGUGAUCGGCCACACUGGAACUGAGACACGGUCCAGACUCCUACGGGAGGCAGCAGUAGGGAAUCUUCCGCAAUGGGCGAAAGCCUGACGGAGCAACGCCGCGUGAGUGAUGAAGGUCUUCGGAUCGUAAAACUCUGUUAUUAGGGAAGAACAAAUGUGUAAGUAACUAUGCACGUCUUGACGGUACCUAAUCAGAAAGCCACGGCUAACUACGUG
rnacentral:rRNA from 1 species